AAUGAACGCUGGCGGCAGGCCUAACACAUGCAAGUCGAACGAGGUAGCAAUACCUAGUGGCGGACGGGUGAGUAACACGUGGGAACGUACCCUUUGCUACGGAAUAGCCCUGGGAAACUGGGAGUAAUACCGUAUGAGCCCGAGAGGGGAAAGAUUUAUCGGCAAAGGAUCGGCCCGCGUUGGAUUAGGUAGUUGGUGGGGUAAUGGCCUACCAAGCCGACGAUCCAUAGCUGGUUUGAGAGGAUGAUCAGCCACACUGGGACUGAGACACGGCCCAGACUCCUACGGGAGGCAGCAGUGGGGAAUCUUAGACAAUGGGGGAAACCCUGAUCUAGCCAUGCCGCGUGAUCGAUGAAGGCCUUAGGGGUGUAAAGAUCUUUCAGGUGGGAAGAUAAUGACUGUACCACCAGAAGAAGCCCCGGCUAACUCCGUGCCAGCAGCGCGGUAA
rnacentral:rRNA from 1 species